CUGUUUCUGCAUUUGCAGAAGCCCUGGACAAAAAUACAAACGGAAGGCUCAGGCCUGUGUCUUACCCUUUGUCUCCUCCCACCGAUGGCUCUAACCUUCACAUCCAGGGAUUUAUCACUGAUGAUUUCUACAAUACUUUUGCAGAACAAUUAACCCUCUACUUACUGGUGACUUAGUGAGAGUUUGUGUAUUUGGAUCCCUGAAUUUUUCUGGGUAAGUCAGCCUUUAAUUUA
rnacentral:lncRNA from 1 species